AUGUGCAUCCCAAAGAAAAUGGGUGGCAUGAGUUUCAGAUAUAUUCCAUGUUUUAAUCUCCCUAUGCUUGUUAAACAAGUUUGGCGAUUACUAUGUGAACACGACUCUCUGUGUGCAAAGGUGCUAAGGUCGAGAUAUUUUCCCUGAGGUGACAUUCCGAAUGCAGAAUUAAAGAAGGGUUCGUCCUUUAAUUGGCAGAUCAUCCAUGUGGGAAUUUAGUGUUUCAUGAAAGGUUACAUUUGGAGGAUGGGGAACGACGAGAAUAUUCAUCGCCUAUCGGCAUCACUCCUAAGGCGGCGGCGUUGGGAGAGGGAACGAUGGCGGCAGGCGGCGCUAGGGAUAUCUGCACGAGAGGGAAAAGUGAAGGGAGAGGGGGUUGCUUUUUUUUCUCGAUAA
rnacentral:rRNA from 1 species